UGGAAUGCUAAAGAAAUGCGCAGUGUAGUUGCUAAGAAGUCAUUUUAAAUUUUAACUUGUUAUUAAGGUGACAAAUACAAAUAUCAAGCUUAAUUAACAGCUAAUUUACUUGCUCUCUUUAGGGAUGUACUUGCUUAUUCUACAGCUGCUGAUUUCAUUCUCUCAGAGAACCAGAAGAGAUUCAGUGAAGGCUGCACUUGAAUGAACACUGAUACGUCAUGCUUGCAUGCAGUAACACUGUGACAGAACACCUGUGUGUGCAGUACCCACGCAGCAAAAGGAGAGGAAUGGCAUCCAGCCCCUUCUCAUCCCCUGUGCGCCGUGAUGCCUCGUUUAGGAACUCAAUCACUUUAUCUUCUGGUAAGACAUCAGGAUUCCACAACAGCUGGUCAUCGUUCUC
rnacentral:lncRNA from 1 species